rnacentral:lncRNA from 1 species
ACAUCCGGCUGCGCGUGCGGGCCGAGUACUGCGAGCACGAGGCGGCGCUGCGGCAGAACGUGGCGUCGAACCGGGCGCAGCGCCUGGCGCGGCAGCUCGACCUCUUCGGCCAGGCGAGCACGGUGCUGAAGUCGCGCGACCUGGGCUCCAUCAUCUGCGACAUCAAGUUCUCGGAGCUCUCCUACCUCGACGCCUUCUGGAGCGACUACCUCAACGGCUCCCUGCUGGAGGCCCUCAAGGGCGUCUUCCUCACGGACUCGCUCAAGGAGGCCGUGGGCCGCGAGGCCAUCCGGCUCCUCGUCAACGUCGACGAGGACGACUACGAGGAGGGCCGCCGCCUGCUGCUCGACGCCCUCGGCGCCCCCUGAGCAGCCGCCUUCCCGGCGCUUCCUUCCGGCAGCACCGUGCUGCCCGCAGCCUUCCCGGCGUUUCCGGUGAGGACGAUGGUGCCCAGAGGCUUCCCGGCGCCUCCGGUGAGGACGAUGGUGCCCAGAGGCUUCCCGGCGCCUCCGGUGAGGACGAUGGUGCCCAGCGGCUCCAGGCGCCUCCCAGCAGCUCCCAGCAGCUCCGGUGAGGACGGCGGCUCCUGGUGCAUCCGGUGAGGACCGUGGUGCCCGGAGGCUUCCCGGYGCCUCCCGGUGCCUCCAGUGAGGACACUGGUGCCCGGUGGCUUCCUGGUGCCUCCCAGCAGCUCCCGGCACCUCCCAUGAGGACACUGGUGCCUAGUGGCUUCCCGGCACCUCCGGCCCCGGCAGCUCCCGGUGUGUCCGGUGAGGAUGGCAGCUCCCUGCACCUCCGGCAAGGCUGGGCGGCUCCCGGCGCGUCCGGCCCUGGUGGUGCCCCACUCCCUGUGUGUCCAGCAUCCGGCUGCUGGCGCUUCCCGGUGUGUCCAGCACCUGGUUCCUCACACAUCCAGCCCCGGCGGGUCCCAGCGGCUCCCGGUGCAUCCGGCGAAGAUGGCAGCUCCUGGUGCAUCCGGCGAGGCUGGUGGUUCCCAGUGUGUCCAGCACCCGAUUCCCCGCGCAUCCAGCCCCGGCGGGUCCCGACGCGUC